CCGCUUUCUCUCCGUGGCCUUUCAUGCCCUCAAUUUGUUAUUCUACUGACACUUUUCUUAAAGUUAGCGCCCAGCAUUGAAACAUUAGCGACAAAAGCCCUGGAAAAUCUCUCCCUCCUCAGCGCUAAAUCCCCUAAUGGCUUCGCUUUGGAAAGUGCGGACGCUCCGCUCUCCCCCCACGUGCACCCUCCGAUUUAUAAAUGAGAGCAUACAGAUGUACUCUGCAGCAGCCUGCCCGGAUCUGCACUAACGCUCUCAUUCUGGAUCAAAACAACGCAUCCCGGCGCUCCACGCCACCGGCGCAUCUAUCGAACGAAACUGCGCUACAGUUGCGCCGUCUCCAGCAAAUCUCCACCUCUGUUUUACACACUUGUUCGGUAUCUUCUCACCUCUCUUCGCAUUUUAAAUACGUAUCACAGUAAACGUUACUUGGAGGUCUUUCGUGUCUCCAUAGCUCCUUCGGCUCGUAUCUUUUCCUUUCUUUUAAUCUUGUUACGCGAAAUUAUGUACCCGUCUCUCACGAAAUCCAGCGGGUAUAACUUUUUUUUUUAAAUAAUAUAUUUUUUAAAAGUUCUAAUCUUGGAGUUUUGCAGAAAAUACCAUUUUUUAAAGUCCGUGUUCCUACCUCGUAUUUUCUGGUUGAGGCUCUCUAAGUCCUCUUCACUUCAUUACGCGGAUUUCGCGAAAUGAUUCUUCAGCUCUGAUUUAAAUAAGUUUUAGUGUGAGCUCCGAGUGACCAUUAUCCCUUAACCUGAGGUCAAGUGAACGGGAAUUUACAUGACAAAGAAUAAUGCCCAUUUUGUCCAAUAUGAAACAACUUCACCUUCGGCAUCAUUAAGAAGAAUUUAGUCCUUCUUUCAGGGGUUGGGAUUUGUUGGUUUUGUGGUUCUUUUUUUUUUUUCUUUUUUUUUUUUUUCUUUUUGGUAAACAGUUGGCUCUGCACUGUGCCAUUUCCCUCUUAUAAAUCCCAAUACAAAGGCCAACUUCUCGUGCUCUCGAAUUUCGGCAUUAUUUGUAGAGCAGAGCCUUAAGUAGAGCACAUUUGCACCUGCUGGUAUUUAAACUUCAGCGUAUCGGCUGGGGAGGACUUAUCAGUGCGGCGCACUGCCUCGAAACAAAUUAACACUCUCCAUUAAAGUCAGCGCGGGGAGGAGGGAGAUGUGACCAUUUCAGGCGCUGUCCCGGAUGAUGUCCCCAACAUAUCGGAGGGAAUCACUCGGGGUCCGUAUAACGCCAGUCCCGCUUGGCUUCCCCCUCGCCCAAACACACGCUCCCCCUAAUUUCUGCUUCUUUCCGAACACUUGAACGCUAUGGGCACUUUCCU
ensembl:lncRNA